GGCUGGUUAGCUCAAUUGGUUAGAGCAUGAUGCUGAUAACAUCAAGGUUCAAGGUUCAAUCCCUGUACUGGCCA